GACGAACGCUGGCGGCGUGCUUAACACAUGCAAGUCGAACGCUGAAGACCUGGCUUUUGUUGGGUUGGAUGAGUGGCGAACGAGUGAGUAACACGUGAGUAACCUGCCCUCUUCUUUGGGAUAACGCCCGGAAACGGGUGCUAAUACUGGAUAUUCACUGAUCUUCGCAUGGGGGUUGGUGGAAAGGUUUGUUCUGGUGGGGGAUGGGCUCGCGGCCUAUCAGCUUGUUGGUGGGGUGAUGGCCUACCAAGGCUUUGACGGGUAGCUGGCCUGAGAGGGUGACCGGUCACAUUGGGACUGAGAUACGGCCCAGACUCCUACGGGAGGCAGCAGUGGGGAAUAUUGCACAAUGGGCGAAAGCCUGAUGCAGCGGCGCCGCGUGAGGGAUGGAGGCCUUCGGGUUGUAGACCUCUUUCGCUCAUGGUCAAGCCGCAACUGUGGGUUGUGGUGAGGGUAGUGGGUAAAGAAGCGCCGGCUAACUACGUG
rnacentral:rRNA from 1 species